ACCACGGUGGUUUAGCGGUUAGAACGCUGGCCUUGUAAUCCUGGGGUCUCGGGUUCGAUUCCCGGCGGUGGCC
rnacentral:tRNA from 1 species